CGCCUCUUGCCUCCCAUAAGAGGUCCAGCCUGCCCAGUGACUCUGUUCAACGGCCGCGGUAUCCUAACCGUGCGAAGGUAGCGUAAUCACUUGUUCUUUAAAUGAGGACUAGUAUGAAUGGCCCCACGAAGGCUACGCUGUCUCCUUUUUCUAAUCAAUGAAACUAAUCUCCUCGUGAAGAAGCGAGAAUAAUUUUAUAAGACGAGAAGACCCUAUGGAGCUUUAAAUAACUGAAAAAUUGCAUACUUUUACCUUCUACCUCCCGAGACUUCCUUUUUAUUCAAGCACUUUUAUUCCCAGUUUUAGGUUGGGGUGACCACGGAGCAAAAUUUAACCUCCACGACGAAAAAGACCCUCUUUUAGCUAAAAGCUACUCCUUUAAGCAUCAGCAAACUGACUUCUUUUGACCCAAUAAAUUGAUCAACGAACCAAGUUACCCUAGGGAUAACAGCGCAAUCUACUUUAAGAGCUCAUAUCGACAAGUAGGUUUACGACCUCGAUGUUGGAUCAGGGUAUCCUAGUGGUGCAGCCGCUACUAACGGUUCGUUUGUUCAACGAUUAAAACCCU
rnacentral:rRNA from 1 species